AGAUUGAACGCUGGCGGCGUGCCUAACACAUGCAAGUCGAGCGGUAACAGGUGUAGCAAUACAUGCUGACGAGCGGCGAACGGGUGAGUAAUGCUUUGGAAUCUUCCCAGUAGUGGGGAAUAACCAGUCGAAAGAUUGGCUAAUACCGCAUACGUCUGUAAAGGGAAAGCGGGGGCUCGUAAGACCUCGCGCUAUUGGAUGAGCCAAAGUCGGAUUAGCUAGUUGGUGGGGUAACGGCCUACCAAGGCGACAAUCCGUAGCUGGUCUGAGAGGACGACCAGCCACACCGGAACUGAGACACGGUCCGGACUCCUACGGGGGCAGCAGUGGGGAAUAUUGGACAAUGGGGGAAACCCUGAUCCAGCGACGCCGCGUGUGUGAAGAAGGCCUGCGGGUUGUAAAGCACUUUUAGUGGGACAAAAGCUACGGAUUAAUACUCUGUGGUCUUGAUUUAACCCAAGAAAAGCACCGGCUAACUCUGUGCCAGCAGCCGC
rnacentral:rRNA from 1 species